rnacentral:tRNA from 1 species
GUGAGUGUAGCUCAGAGGGUAGAGCACCGGGUUGUGGCCCCGGCGGUCGAGGGUUCAAGUCCCUUCACUCACC